rnacentral:misc_RNA from 1 species
CAUACACAAUGGCGCGGAUGACAAUGCCAGCGGUACAGCGGCUUUGAUUGAGCUUGCGCGUGCUUUGCAAGCCGCAAAUAAUAAAAAGAACAAUUAUCUUUUCAUUGCCUUUUCAGGAGAAGAGAAAGGAUUACUGGGCUCCAAUUACUAUGUAAAACAUCCGACCAUUGACAGGCAAACCGUAAACUAUAUGCUGAACAUGGACAUGGUAGGGAGAUUAAAAAGUGAUGAUAAACUGCUGAUCAUUUACGGUGCAGGCACAUCACCCUCAUGGAAGAACGUACUGGAUUCCAUAAUGCUCGGUGUAAAAAUUAAAACGACGGCAUCCGGCAUCGGGCCAUCCGAUCAUACUUCCUUUUAUCUUGACAGCAUUCCUGUUUUGCAUUUCUUCAGCGGCAUGCAGAGCGAUUAUCACAAGCCAUCGGAUGAUGAAGAUAAGAUCAACUAUGACGG